CCCUUAGAUGUCCUGGGCCGCACGCGCGCUACACUGACGGAGGCAGCGAGCAUGUCCUUCGCCGAGAGGUGUGGGGAAUCUUGUGAGUCUCCGUCGUGCUGGGGAUAGAUGGUUGCAAUUGUCGAUCUUGAACGAGGAAUUCCUAGUAAGCGCGAGUCAUCAGCUCGCGCUGAUUACGUCCCUGCCCUUUGUACACACCGCCCGUCGCUACUACCGAUUGGAUGGUUUAGCGAGAGCCUUGGAUUGGAGCCCAGGUGGUCGGCAACGGCCGCUCGGGAUGCCGAGAAAUUGCUCCAGCUGACUCAUCUAGAGGAAGUAAAAGUCGUAACA
rnacentral:rRNA from 1 species